rnacentral:rRNA from 1 species
CCCUUAGAUGUCCGGGGCUGCACGCGCGCUACACUGAAUGAAUCAGCGUGCUAGAAAACCUUGUUUGACAUGGCUAGGUAACCCAUUGAAAAUCAUUCGUGAUUGGGAUCGGGACUUGCAAACGUGUCCCUUGAACGAGGAAUUCCCAGUAAGUGCGGGUCAUCAGCUCGCGUUGAUUACGUCCCUGCCCUUUGUACACACCGCCCGUCGCUGCCCGGAACUGAGCCGUUUCGAGAAGACUGUGGAUUGCUGACUUGAGGCCUUCACGGGCUUCUAGUCGGUGAAAAUCAAUUUAAUCGCAGCGGCUUGAACCGGGCAAAAGUCGUAACA